rnacentral:rRNA from 1 species
GAUGAACGCUGACAGAAUGCUUAACACAUGCAAGUCUACUUGAAUUUCGGUUUGGGUGGCGGACGGGUGAGUAACGCGUAAAGAACUUGCCUCACAGUUAGGGACAACAUUUGGAAACGAAUGCUAAUACCUGAUAUUAUGAUUUUAGGGCAUCCUAAGAUUAUGAAAGCUAUAUGUGCUGUGAGAGAGCUUUGCGUCCCAUUAGCUAGUUGGAGAGGUAACGGCUCACCAAGGCGAUGAUGGGUAGCCGGCCUGAGAGGGUGAACGGCCACAAGGGGACUGAGACACGGCCCUUACUCCUACGGGAGGCAGCAGUGGGGAAUAUUGGACAAUGGACCAAAAGUCUGAUCCAGCAAUUCUGUGUGCACGAUGACGUUUUUCGGAAUGCAAAGUGCUUUCAGUUGGGAAGAAAAAAAUGACGGUACCAACAGAAGAAGUGACGGCUAAAUACGUGCCAGCAGCCGCGGUAAUACGUAUGUCACAAGCGUUAUCCGGAUUUAUUGGGCGUAAAGCGCGUCUAGGUGGUUAUGUAAGUCUGAUGUGAAAAUGCAGGGCUCAACUCUGUAUUGCGUUGGAAACUGCAUGACUAGAGUACUGGAGAGGUAAGCGGAACUACAAGUGUAGAGGUGAAAUUCGUAGAUAUUUGUAGGAAUGCCGAUGGGGAAGCCAGCUUACUGGACAGAUACUGACGCUAAAGCGCGAAAGCGUGGGUAGCAAACAGG